UUUCAAUAAUUUAUUCAAAUAUCUCAGCUGAAAGAAAACUGUAUAAAAGAUUUUCACUGAAGCA
rnacentral:snoRNA from 1 species